AGCAGUAGCCACGGUAAUACGCAGGGGGCUAGCGUUGCUCGGAAUUACUGGGCGUAAAGGGAGCGUAGGCGGGUCGUUUAGUCAGAGGUGAAAUCCCGGGGCUCAACCUCGGAACUGCCUUUGAUACUGGCGACCUUGAGUAUGGGAGAGGUAAGCGGAACUCCGAGUGUAGAGGUGAAAUUCGUAGAUAUUCGGAAGAACACCAGUGGCGAAGGCGGCUUACUGGCCCAUUACUGACGCUGAGGCUCGAAAGCGCGGGGAGCAAACAGGAUUAGAGACCCGAGUAGUCCCUGUCUCUUAUAC
rnacentral:rRNA from 1 species